CCUACGGGAGGCAGCAGUGAGGAAUAUUGGUCAAUGGGCGAGAGCCUGAACCAGCCAAGUCGCGUGAAGGAUGACUGCCCUACGGGUUGUAAACUUCUUUUAUAUAGGAAUAAAGUGAGGAACGUGUGCCUUUUUGUAUGUACCUUAUGAAUAAGCAUCGGCUAACUCCGUGCCAGCAGCCGCGGUAAUACGGAGGAUGCGAGCGUUAUCCGGAUUUAUUGGGUUUAAAGGGAGAGUAGGCGGGUUGUUAAGUCAGUGGUGAAAGUUUGUGGCUCAAACGUAAAAUUGCAAUUGAUACUGGUUGACUUGAGUACAGUUGAGGUAGGCGGAAUUCGUGGUGUAGCGGUGAAAUGCAUAGAUAUCACGAAGAACUCCGAUUGCGAAGGCAGCUUACUAAACUGCAACUGACAUUGAGGCACGAAAGUGUGGGUAUCAAACAGGAUUAGAUACCCCAGUAGUC
rnacentral:rRNA from 1 species